GCCUCUGUAGCUCAGUUGGUUAGAGCACUGCACCGGAAUCGCAGGGCCGUAGGUUCAAUUCCUACCAGAGGGC
rnacentral:tRNA from 1 species